rnacentral:rRNA from 1 species
GAUGAACGCUAGCGGCAGGCUUAAUACAUGCAAGUCGAGGGGCAGCAGUCCCGCAGCAAUGCGGGAGCUGGCGACCGGCAAACGGGUGCGGAACACGUACAGAACCUUCCUUCGAGCGGGGAAUAGCCCAGAGAAAUUUGGAUUAAUACCCCAUAGCAUUACGAAGUGGCAUCACUUUGUAAUUAAAGAUUUAUCACUCGAAGAUGGCUGUGCGGCUGAUAGGUAGUUGGCGGAGUAACGGCCCACCAAGCCUUCGAUCAGUAACUGGUGUGAGAGCACGACCAGUCACACGGGCACUGAGACACGGGCCCGACUCCUACGGGAGGCAGCAGUAAGGAAUAUUGGUCAAUGGACGAAAGUCUGAACCAGCCAUGCCGCGUGGAGGA